CUACGGGGGGCUCCAGUGAAGAAUAUUGCGCAAUGGGGGAAACCCUGACGCAGCGACGCCGCGUGGAUGAUGAAGGCCUUAGGGUCGUAAAAUCCUGUCAGGUGGGAAGAAGUGGAUAUAGAUUAAUACUCUAUUUCUUUGACGGUACCACCAAAGGAAGCACCGGCUAACUCCGUGCCAGCAGCCGCGGUAAUACGGAGGGUGCAAACGUUGUUCGGAAUUACUGGGCGUAAAGCGCGCGUAGGCGGUUUGUUAAGUCAGAUGUGAAAGUCCAUGGCUCAACUAGGGAAGUGCAUUUGAAACUGGCAGACUUGAGUACUGGAGGGGGUGAUGGAAUUCCCGGUGUAGAGGUGAAAUUCGUAGAUAUCGGGAGGAAUACCGGUGGCGAAGGCGAUCACCUGGCCAGAUACUGACGCUGAGGUGCGAAAGCGUGGGGAGCAAACAGGAUUAGAUACCCGCGUAGUC
rnacentral:rRNA from 1 species